UCUAGAGACAGAGGGAUGAAUACAGCAUCAGUGUGCUGCAAAACACUGGACAAAAAAAACAUUUUCUCAGAAUUCCAAACAAUAGGUUCCACUGACAGCUGUGACACAAUCCAAAAACAAAAGAUUAAAAGAAAUUCCUUUGGGGUUUGGAAAACAGGGAUGCAUUGUUGAAUAAUGUUGGUAUGCAAAACUUGAGCAAAGACAAAUGCCAAAGACAAAUUUCACCAUUCAUGGAAAUACUUGAAAUACAGCAAUUGUGAUGACAAGGAACUGUUACUUCAAACAACUUCCUUAAGUCAGCAACAUGCGCAAGAAAACUUUGUGGUGGAGUUGGGAGCACAGUAAAGAGGCAAGCCUCGCGGUUUCAUCAAUUGCGGACGAACGGGCCGGGCCGCCUCCGGGAUCGAUCUGAAUUUCAAAUGCCUGGAUCUGAAUUUAAGAUAAGCGGAACGUGCAGCAGUCCGAGCGGGACGGGGCUCUGCGGGAAAACGGCCCGUUCUGGAGCGAGCACAAAACGUCCCCUAACGCGCGCACAGAAUGCGUCUGCAGAGAUCAAAGCCCACACACCGCCUCUUCUUCCUCCAGUCUCUCUCUGCUGGCCGAUCACGGGAAAAUGCGGCUGAAAAUGACUUAUUUAACUCCGAGGCUUUUCCAUUAAAUUAAAUCAGCGUGUUAUUACCCGAUUUUGCCCGUCUUUUUUCUUCUUCUUUUUUUUUGAGCCACUGUCUCGGAUUUUGUC